UCUAUUUCACAGGUCCCCCUCAACACUGCAGUCUCCUUCGUAGGAUAGUCCUAGAGGGCCUAUUGUCCAGUGCUGAAGUACUGGGAUAUGAUGAGAAGUCCUUGAAUAUAUCUGCUCUUGUUUGGUGUAGUCGCAAGCAUAUUUCAUCAGUCAAUGAUGAUGAGCCUCAUCUGAUUACCAUCUCUGACAAGACAAGUCCACCAGCCAUUGGUUGCAGUAAGGAGAGUGGACUACCAACUGUUACAUUGAAUGAUAUUAGUGAGAAAAAGAGUUACUGGCUAAAAGACCUUUGUAAUUUAUCAGUUCUAACAUCUAAUUUAUUGCCUGAUGUACUUGAUCAAAGGCAUGCUUCUGUUAUACUAAGAGCAAUAAAAGAUCUUGUGGUUGAACUGGAAGAGUUUGGUAUCCAUCUUGGACUAAGCAAUGCUGAUAUUCAGGAGAUAAAGGUCAAUGCUCCUUAUGAAAUCCGGACAAGACGUAAAGAUAUCAUCAUUGCCUGGUUAGAGACAGGUACUGCUACUCGUAGUGCACUCAUCUCAGCACUGGAAGAUGUUGAAAGGUUUGACAUUGCAACUAAAGUAAAAGGAUUACCAACUGUUCGACUAUGAAUCUAUUUGCAAAGUUGUACUAACUGUUUGAGCUAUGAGUCUAUUUUUUUAUUUUAA